UAAUUAUAACAUAAGGAUGUUAUAAUUAAUGAGUAAUGACGAGAGAUAAUAAUUGUUAUAUUGAUUAACAAUCAAGAGAGAUGAACAUUAGAGAUACUAAUGUUUCAUAAAAGAGAUUAGAUUAUUAAUCGAGGUUUCUUUUAUAACUUCUCACCAAUUCUUCAUAACGAUGAAGGUCCUUUUGGGAAGUAACGACUUGAGGGAGAGAGUGACGUUACUCAUUGAUACAGAGACACAACGAGGUUGAGCUGAUGUGAUGAUGGUGCUGCAAUGAGCGGAGUCUCCAGGGUUGUUAAUAAAUAGUUAACCUGUCUAGAAUAUGUCUUCAUACAUAUGUCUAGCUACUUUCCGCUGCAAGAUGUUGUUGAUGUUAUAGUAUGUUAUGUCAUACUUUGAGUCUUAAGAGAAUGGUUGCAUAUGAUGUAUAACUUGAUUAAUGAUAUUAAUUAACUUUUAUGCAGUCUUUCAUAGACUGUUUUCAAUUGAGUAUUAAUGAAUAAAAAUGACGAGUUUUAUUAA